rnacentral:rRNA from 1 species
GUCUAUGGCCAUACCACCCUGAACAAGCCCGAUCUCGUCAGAUCUCGGAAGCAAAGCAGGGUCGGGCCUGGUUACUACUGAGAUGGGAGACCACCUGGUAAUACCAGGUGCAGUAGGCU